rnacentral:rRNA from 1 species
CGGUGUUUAACUGGCGUGAUGUGGGACGUCCUACCGGUGGGCUUAGCCUCGCGAGGGGCGGCCCAACUAAUAUCCCGUCGCGGUGCUCUUUACUGAGUGUCGAGUCGGGCCGGUACGUUUACUUUGAACAAAUUAGAGUGCUUAAAGCAGGCUAUCCUCGCCUGAAUACUGCGUGCAUGGAAUAAUGGAAUAGGACCUCGGUUCUAUUUUGUUGGUUUUCGGAACCCCGAGGUAAUGAUUAAUAGGGACAGAUGGGGGCAUUCGUAUUGCGACGUUAGAGGUGAAAUUCUUGGAUCGUCGCAAGACGGACAGAAGCGAAAGCAUUUGCCAAAAAUGUUUUCAUUAAUCAAGAACGAAAGUUAGAGGUUCGAAGGCGAUCAGAUACCGCCCUAGUUCUAACCAUAAACGAUGCCAGCUAGCGAUCCGCCGAAGUUCCUCCGAUGACUCGGCGGGCAGCUUCCGGGAAACCAAAGCUUUUGGGUUCCGGGGGAAGUAUGGUUGCAAAGCUGAAACUUAAAGGAAUUGACGGAAGGGCACCACCAGGAGUGGAGCCUGCGGCUUAAUUUGACUCAACACGGGAAACCUCACCAGGCCCAGACACCGGAAGGAUUGACAGAUUGAUAGCUCUUUCUUGAUUCGGUGGGUGGUGGUGCAUGGCCGUUCUUAGUUGGUGGAGCGAUUUGUCUGGUUAAUUCCGAUAACGAACGAGACUCUAGCCUGCUAAAUAGGCGUACCUUAUGGUAUCGCGAAGGCCCCCGGCUUCGGCCGGUGGGUUUUUACUACCAACGUACAAACAAAUCUUCUUAGAGGGCACAGCGCGG